rnacentral:rRNA from 1 species
UACAGAGGUGGCAAGCGUUGUUCGGAAUUACUGGGCGUAAAGGGCGCGUAGGCGGUCUUGUAAGUCUCGUGUGAAAUCCCUCGGCUUAACUGAGGAACUGCACGGGAUACUGCUUGACUUGAGUUCGGGAGAGGGAAGCGGAAUUCCGGGUGUAGCGGUGAAAUGCGUAGAUAUCGGAAGGAACAUCAGUGGCGAAAGCGACUUCCUGGACCAAUACUGACGCUCAUGUGCGAAAGCGUGGGGAGCAAACAGG